rnacentral:rRNA from 1 species
UGGGGAAUCUUCCGCAAUGGACGAAAGUCUGACGGAGCAACGCCGCGUGAGUGAAGAAGGUUUUCGGAUCGUAAAGCUCUGUCUUCAGGGACGAAUGUGAGAUAUGUGAAUAAUGUAUUUCAAUGACGGUACCUGAGGAGGAAGCCACGGCUAACUACGUGCCAGCAGCCGCGGUAAUACGUAGGUGGCAAGCGUUGUCCGGAAUUAUUGGGCGUAAAGAGCGCGUAGGCGGGAUAAUCAGUCUGCUGUGAAAGUGCGGGGCUCAACCCCGUGAUUGCAGUGGAAACAGUUAUGCUUGAGUGCAGGAGAGGAAAGUGGAAUUCCCAGUGUAGCGGUGAAAUGCGUAGAUAUUGGGAGGAACACCAGUGGCGAAGGCGACUUUCUGGACUGUGUCUGACGCUGAGGCGCGAAAGCCAGGGUAGUGAACG